UACGUAGGGUGCGAGCGUUAAUCGGAAUUACUGGGCGUAAAGCGUGCGCAGGCGGUUUUGGAAGCCCGAUGUGAAAGCCCCGGGCUUAACCUGGGAAUGGCAUUUGGGACUGCAAGGCUGGAGUGUGGCAGAGGAGACUGGAAUUCCUGGUGUAGCAGUGAAAUGCGUAGAUAUCAGGAAGAACACCCGUGGCGAAGGCGGUUAGCUGGGCAGUUGCUGACACUGAGGCGCGACAGCGUGGGGAGCAAACAGG
rnacentral:rRNA from 1 species